UGUGGGAGAAUUUUUUUUUGAGAAAUCCUCUGUAGCUUUGGAAAAGGUUUGCUGAUGGCAUUAGUAAGUGAAUCGACGCUUGCUGACUUGGAACUGGAUCAAAAACCUUCUUGAAAGGUGAGGCUGUUUGGAAAUGGUCGAGAUUCGAUAAGUUUGCACUCAUAAAUUGAUUUGGAUGAUGAGGAUGAAUUUUUUUUUGGAAGGGAACAUUACAAAGUCUUUUGUCAAUGGCAUCCCCUCAAUUGAAUUCUCUUGUAACACCCCAAAAAUCCCGAAACCCAAAAAUCUUGAAAUCUAGAACUUUCUUUGUUUUCGAUUUUGAUAAAAAUUGUGAUUUAUGUUCCUAGCUAUGUGAUAAUUAUAGUAGGUCUUAAUUAAUGUUUGAGUUCGAACCUAGGAAUAAAUGAAAUUAUAGUUUAAUUAUUAAAAGAAUCAGGGUUGGCAAGUAGUUGGGCUUUUAAAUAAAAAUAGGGGAAAAAUAGCAUCAAAAAGCCUUAUGGAGGAGUGGCUAAGUGAUCCCACUUAGGGAGUAGGGAGGUGGCGUUAGUAGCUAGCAAAGAGAUCCAAGGUUCAAAUCCUAGCUUAGUAUUUUUAGAAGUUUAAUUUUGGCCUUCUAGAAGGAUGGAAGUGGCGUGAAGAUGGACUCCAAGGGGAGUGUUCAAAAGAGAAAAUUAAAGAAAAGAUCAAGGGGUUAUCAGGGAGAAAAACGAGGAGAUGAGAAGGCAGAAGUGAUGGAGCCGAAUUGGGAAUUGGGCAUGGAAAAUUCAGCUAUAAGGGCUAUAAAUAGGGGCCAAAUACAGGGUUGCCAGGCUACUGCCAAAAUUCUUCUUCACCUUGGUGCCAGAAACCCCUUUCUCCAAAAGCCGAAAACCAUUUUCUUUUCAAGAUCCAAAAUGUCGAAAACCCUUUUGUUUUUCAUUCUUUUCUUCCUGCCGAUUUCUAUUUUUCUCUGUACAGUUUUCUUUGUUUCACUUAGCCGAUUUCUUCUUCUACUCUUCUUCUUUAAUCCGUACCAAAUAAACCUUAUUCACCAUACUAAGUUUGAAAAGCCGAAAAGCUGAAUCUCUCAAGGGUUGAAUACUCUUUGACCGAAUCUAGUGUAAAUGUUGCUCUUCCAAUCGGUUUCCUUUGCUAGGUAUCAAUUAUUGUCCCUCACUCUUUCAAUCAACUUUGGUAGGCAAUUAGUAUCGGAUCUCAGAUCUUAGCUCUCUGCUGAAUUGCUCUUUAGGUGUUUGCAGUUUUGGUAAGUAUUCCUCAUCCAUUGGCUAAGGUUGGCCGAAUAGCCAUAGUAAGGUAAGGGGACUUGUUUUGGAUACGAUUCACCUAUUAUUCUGGUUUUAAUAGUUACGAUUGGUGUAGAUCUAGGAGUUGAUCGUGGUUAGUGAAGGGGUAGUUAUACUUAUCGUGCAAGGUAAGGUUAAUGUGAGAUUCUAACUUUUGGUAAAGUAUUCGAUAAGUAUGUAAGAUUAAUCUUUUAGUGAUAUCGAUUGUAGGUUUGUGCUAAGGAGAUCAAAUCACGCUUGCUUACCAGGUGUGUACAUACACUGCACACACAUUAUGUAUCGGCAAAAGUCGAAAUGCCGAAAAGCUGAAAAGCCAAAAUACCGAAAAGCUGAAAGUUUGGCUAUAGUAGUCUUGUGAGUGUGCGAACACUCGUAAGGGGGAGACCGAUAGGUUGCUUGAGGCCCACGGGCAAUUCCGUGGACUUGGGUUGUGAUUUGGACAAAUGGGCCAGAAUGGGCUAAAUGGGCCGGAAUGGGCUAAAUGGGCUCGAUGGGCUGUUGGGCCCAUAAUAGGCAAAAACUGAAUAUUGAUGCUAUGUGAUAGGAACUUGUAUGUGGGCAUGAAUAUGAAUGUGACUAGGCCUAACAGGCCAUAUAAAUGUGAUUUGGGCCUAAUGGGCCAUAAAUAGGUGAUUUGGGCCUAAUGGGCCAUAUGAAUAUGAUUGGGCUUAAUGGGCCAGAUACAGGUAUGUGAAAUUUUUUGGGCUUUGUAAGGGGUUUUGGGCCUAGUAUAUGAUAUCCACAUAAGACUUAAUUAAUAUAUUGCGACCGUGGAAAAGUCAAAGGGUUAAGGUGUGGCAAUGGGUAUAUGCAUGUCUAGGAUUGGAUCUAGGGAGAGCUUGGUACUUAAGCGGUCUUAAUGACUCACCUUCUCUUCUCUAGAAUCCUACCUGGUGCAUAGUGUUUGUUCAUCUUAGCUCACGGGACUCGUUAAUGGGCCAAGGUAAGUGAAAAUCGUAAUUAAGGGAAAAUUAACAAAAUGCCCCUAAGCGCGAAAAUGACCAAAAUACCCCUAGGUGUAGAAUGUAUGUUUUGUGGAUGUGACAUGCAUAUAUAUGACAUUCUGCUUAGGUUGCAUACGGGUGGGAAUUAUGGAACGGAGGAAGUAUAUGAGGAUCGCAUGGUUGCUUGACAAUCGUGGAUUCACCGACGACUUUUAAAGCCCAAUAUGUAAAUGAAGGUAGUUCCGUAACCGGGCUACCAUGGUGUGUGGGCAGGGUGGGCCGAUAUUUAUACCCCCACAUGGUGUGACGAGGGAUGGAGAUAGUGUGUAGCGGAUGGAUAAUUUGGAUGGGAUUGCAUUGCAUGAUUGAUGAAUGAUGUUUUUUUUUGAAUGCUUGUUUUCCGUCAAGGGCUGUCCACACUGAGUUUGCGAAAACUCACCCCCCUCUUUUAUUUUAUUUUUAGGUGAUGCUUAGCAGAAGGUUCGAUGUUUGGAAGGACUCUGUGUGGCCAGCUAGCAAGACAACUUGGACUUGUUUCUCUUUUAAAAACAUAUAAGUUCUUUAUUUUAUUAAGUAUUUUUUGGACCGGAAUGUAAUAAGGCUUCCUUCUUAUUAUUAUUUUCAUUGUAAUUACGAGAAGUUGAACAUGGGA
rnacentral:lncRNA from 1 species